AGUUGCGAAGGCGGCUCUCUGGACUGUAACUGACGCUGAGGCACGAAAGCGUGGGGAGCAAACAGGAUUAGAUACCCUGGUAGUCCACGCUGUAAACGAUGAGUACUAGGUGUCGGGGUUUACCCCCUUCGGUGCCGCAGCUAACGCAUUAAGUACUCCGCCUGGGAAGUACGCUCGCAAGAGUGAAACUCAAAGGAAUGGACGGGGACCCGCACAAGUAGCGGAGCAUGUGGUUUAAUUCGAAGCAACGCGAAGAACCUUACCUAAGCUUGACAUCCCAAUGACAUCUCCUUAAGCGGAGAGUUCCCUUCGGGGACAUUGGUGACAGGUGGUGCAUGGUUGUCGUCAGCUCGUGUCGUGAGAUGUUGGGUUAAGUCCCGCAACGAGCGCAACCCUUGUCUUUAGUUGCCAUCAUUAAGUUGGGCACUCUAGAGAGACUGCCAGGGAUAACCUGGAGGAAGGUGGGGAUGACGUCAAAUCAUCAUGCCCCUUAUGCUUAGGGCUACACACG
rnacentral:rRNA from 1 species